CUUUAUUGAAAUGAAAUUUUAUUUAGUUGGUGCAUAGAGGGUAAUCGGAAUACCUAUUUAUACUUAUGUUCAAUACCUAUUUAACUAUUUUUCUAUUGUUUGGAUUUAUUGCUAAGUAGGUUUUAAAUUUGUUCCAUGCAACUAUCUUCUGUGCAGAUGGCGGCGGUUCAAAUACCAUGGGAUAAGACGAAAUAUUAAAUUAAUCGAAGAAAUUAAAUAUUUUAGUAGAAGAACUUACAUUUAUAAUAUUCUUAAUAAAAAAAACUAGCGUUCACAGAAUAUUUAUAUUAGCUUUUUGUAGACGCAGUAAAAUUUUCAAAACAUUCUAGCUAUUUUUAAGUUAUUUAUAG